UUGUCAGUCUUACAUAAACUUUCCAUAAAACCAAAAGAGACGGCAAGCUUCAAAACUGAUUUUAUAAGACUGGUAUUAUCUUGAUAUCAAAACCUGACUAGUAUAUUUUAAGGAAGUAAAAUUACAGACCAAUCUUACUCAAGAACAUAAAUGAGAAUUUCCUAUACAAAGGAACGAAUGAAUGUGUACAUUAAUGAAUGCAUGGGUUUAUUUCCUGGUUUUUCAUAGACCUACAACAGAAAUCCACUCAGCCUGACAAAGUAAGGAUUUUAAUACCAGUCUUGGCACAUACCCUCAAGAACCCCUGGAUGCUAAAAUGGCUCAAAGAGCUAACAAAGUCUGGACAAACCAACAUGCCUGGUUUAAUUAGUCUGUAGGAAGUCCAGAUAUCGGUAUUUCUUAAAAGCCUUCCAGAGUUCCGACAGAGAUCACGGUGAGACUCUGAGCUCCGCGGCUAGCUCCCCUGGGGCCCUCCAAACCCUGGGCCAACGGGUGAGUUGGGGGAGCCCCAGGACAGACUGGGGCCUCCGCCCUGCAGAUAUCCCAGAGCCCUUGCUAUGGCUCCCACCGGCCACACCCAGGCCUUGAAGGAGCAUCGACCAUAUUCCUCAACCCACCUCGGUGACCUGAUGGUGGCGGCAGCCUCUCCCAGCCGACCCCGCCGACCGCUGGAUCUCCAGAGGACACCCCUGCCAAGCCACCCGGAUGCAGAGCCUUUGAGUGGCAGCUGCCGUGGCCGGCCGGAAGCAUGGCGGCGGCAGGGAGGCCCCUAGGGUGUGGCAGGGCGGGUCUACGGAGGCCUCUUUAGGCCACAGAGCAACGUAAAGCCUAGGCCUGCAGAGACUGCUCAGUCACAGUUGAAGGAGACCUACUGAGUCCUGAGGACAACCAACAAAGGCCUUAACGGCACAGAAGCUCACUCAGCUCACCCAUUAAACCCUGCGGGUCUGUUUCACUUUUUCCUUCCCACACAAACAUUACAGUAACAGUCUGGCCUUCCCAAACCACCACUGGAAACUUCAACUGAACUGAUCAUAUAUCAGUCAACUCUAGGAGACCAGCUCUGAUUCCAAGAAACUGUGACAUUGCCUCCAUUGGAAGUUACAACCUUCACCUGCCAACCUGGACUCAUCCCAUAGGUUGUGACAUCAGAAAGUUGAUAGACGUGAUCGCUAAGAAUCUUGCCGAAUAUUCUAGGACUACAAGUAAAAGAGACCCUAUUUUCUGUGCUGGGAAAAGAAGUCCCACCAGUGUGAUCAGGAAUAAAACACUUCAGGUGCAACGUGAUCAUUAUUCAAAGGUUCUGUGAAGCCAAUUACCCCCUUUGCAAAGUGAAAAGUGCAACUUUGGAUUUUUCUGAUCAGAGUAAUAUAGAGAGGAGCCCACCCUUUUCUUACUAUACAGAGAAGAGUAAAACACAGUCACCUUUACACAGCAUCUGAGUGGACCUAACACAGGGCAGUGAAAGUGAUGCAGAACAAACUUCAAAGCCUCCAGGAGCACACGUGACCUCAGGAAAUGAACAGAAACAACCUAGCUCUCCAAAGAGGAGUAUUUCAUUCAACUCCGAACUGCUCACACAUUAUGCAACUGUGAACAAGGCUCAUUUAAAAAUCCAUGAAGCUUCUAAUGUUUUCACCACAAAAUAUAUUAAGUAUUGAGGUGCUGGAUAUGUUGACUAGUUUGAUUUAAUUAUUCCACAUUAUAUGCAUAAAUAGUAACAUCACCUUGUUCCCCAUAAAAUUAUACAAUUAUAAAUUGUCAAUUUGCAAUUAAAAC
rnacentral:lncRNA from 1 species